rnacentral:lncRNA from 1 species
UUUUGCUGUGAAAUGGGAAUCGUUCUGUUGAUCCACCUUCUGUGCAGCCUGUGAAGGAAAAAGCUCCCAUCCUUCCCACUUCAGGAAUGGUGCAUCUUACAGAAGUCAGGCAUUUUUGGUGAAGGGUCCUCAUCUGUAAAAUAAAUGGGAGCCAGAACUCAGCAUUAAAACAAAACCUCCACCCCUUUAGUACCACUGAUAACUGGACUUUCCACAAGCACAAGGUGAAACAGGGACGACAGUUCAGGCAAACCACCACCCAGGCAGCAGAAAAACACUGACUGUGAAAGGAACCUGCUAACCGUAGGAUACAAGAUUUGUUCUUCUCGGCUUUCCUGUGGCUAAGGACAUGACUAAUCCUGUGUGACAGCCCCAUGCUUGGAGCCUGCUGCUCUUACUGGUGCAGCUGGGGACUCUGUCACUUUUCACCAUCACAACUCGAAAUGAAAACUCUUCUGCAAUGAAAUUGUUUCUGCAGUGAAAUGGAGGAUCACUAAAGCUCUUGCCACAACCACUGGGAAUAAAUUCACUUUAAUU